rnacentral:rRNA from 1 species
GACGUAGGUGGCGAACGUUAUCCGGAAUUAUUGGGCGUAAAGGGUGCGUAGGCGGCAUGAUAAGUUAUUGGCGGCAAAUCGAGGCUCAACCUCGUGGAAACUGAUAAUACUGUCUUGCUUGAGUGCAGAAGAGGUUAACGGAACUCCAUGUGGAGCGGUAAAAUGUGUAGAUAUAUGGAAGAACAUCAAUAACGGCGAAGGCAGUUAACUAUUCUGUUACUGACGUUGAGGCACGAAAGCGUGGGGAGCCAAAAGG